GACGAACGCUGGCGGUGUGCCUAAUACAUGCAAGUUGAGCGCUGAAGGUUGGUACUUGUACCAACUGGAUGAGCAGCGAACGGGUGAGUAACGCGUGGGGAAUCUGCCUUUGAGCGGGGGACAACAUUUGGAAACGAAUGCUAAUACCGCAUAAAAACUUUAAACACAAGUUUUAAGUUUGAAAGAUGCAAUUGCAUCACUCAAAGAUGAUCCCGCGUUGUAUUAGCUAGUUGGUGAGGUAAAGGCUCACCAAGGCGAUGAUACAUAGCCGACCUGAGAGGGUGAUCGGCCACAUUGGGACUGAGACACGGCCCAAACUCCUACGGGAGGCAGCAGUAGGGAAUCUUCGGCAAUAGACGAAAGUCUGACCGAGCAACGCCGCGUGAGUGAAGAAGGUUUUCGGAUCGUAAAACUCUGUUGGUAGAGAAGAACGUUGGUGAGAGUGGAAAGCUCAUCAAGUGACGGUAACUACCCAGAAAGGGACGGCUAACUACGUG
rnacentral:rRNA from 1 species